AAAGACCUGAACUCACUGCUGCAGUCUGGCAAAAGGGGGCAGGGUCUCAUUAGCAUCAGUGUGUUGCUUUGCCUUUGAGAGGAUCCCAAAUUGUGCUCACCUGUCGACUCUUAACAGAUCGAUCUGGAAGUAAAAAGUGUCACGCUUAUCAAGUGUGCUGAGCUCUGCCACGCUGCACCGUGAAUGUGUAAGCCUCGUGCUCACUGUCCCACGUCUGCUCUCGGGUAAGGGCUCAGUUACCAUUUGGAGGGAAGAAUGCCAUGAGUGACCGACAUGUCACACCCCCACCCCCACCUGCUAGAUGAGGUCAGCAUAGGAUCGCCUGAAAUUAGGAACUAUUGCACGGACUUCACCUUCCCUCUCCAUAGGAAGGCCACAAAAACAGACGACAAAGCUUCUUCAG
rnacentral:lncRNA from 1 species